UACGGGGGGGGCAAGCGUUGUUCGGAAUUACUGGGCGUAAAGGGCUCGUAGGCGGCCAACUAAGUCAUACGUGAAAUCCCUCGGCUUAACCGGGGAACUGCGUCUGAUACUGGAUGGCUUGAGUUCGGGAGAGGGAUGCGGAAUUCCUGGUGUAGCGGUGGAAUGCGCAGAUAUCAGGAGGAACACCGGUGGCGAAGGCGGGUCUCUGGGCCAUAACUGACGCUGAGAAGCGAAAGCAUGGGGAGCGAACAGG
rnacentral:rRNA from 1 species